UGGGGAAUAUUGCGCAAUGGGGGGAACCCUGACGCAGCCAUGCCGCGUGAAUGAAGAAGGCCUUAGGGUUGUAAAGUUCUUUCGGUAUUGAGGAAGGUUGAUGUGUUAAUAGCACAUCAAAUUGACGUUAAAUACAGAAGAAGCACCGGCUAACUCCGUGCCAGCAGCCGCGGUAAUACGGAGGGUGCGAGCGUUAAUCGGAAUAACUGGGCGUAAAGGGCACGCAGGCGGUUAUUUAAGUGAGGUGUGAAAGCCCCGGGCUUAACCUGGGAAUUGCAUUUCAGACUGGGUAACUAGAGUACUUUAGGGAGGGGUAGAAUUCCACGUGUAGCGGUGAAAUGCGUAGAGAUGUGGAGGAAUACCGAAGGCGAAGGCAGCCCCUUGGGAAUGUACUGACGCUCAUGUGCGAAAGCGUGGGGAGCAAACAGGAUUAGAUACCCUGGUAGUCCACGCUGUAAACGCUGUCGAUUUGGGGGUUGGGGUUUAACUCUGGCGCCCGUAGCUAACGUGAUAAAUCGACCGCCUGGGGAGUACGGCCGCAGGGUUA
rnacentral:rRNA from 1 species